rnacentral:rRNA from 1 species
UUCCGGUUGAUCCUGCCGGAGGCUACUGCUAUCGGAAUUCGAUUAAGCCAUGCGAGUCGAGAGGGUUCGGCCCUCGGCUGACUGCUCAGUAACACGUGGAUAACUUGCCCUCAGGUAGGGGAUAAUCUCGGGAAACUGAGGAUAAUACCCUAUAGACAUCCUUUGCUGGAAUGCUUGGAUGUUCAAAGGCGACGCCUGAGGAUAGGUCUGCGGCCUAUCAGGUUGUAGUGGGUGUAACGGACCCACUAGCCAGCGACGGGUACGGGCCUUGAAAGAGGUAGCCCGGAGAUGGACUCUGAGACACGAGUCCAGGCCCUACGGGGCGCAGCAGGCGCGAAAACUUCGCAAUGCGGGAAACCGUGACGAGGGAAUUCCGAGUGCUCAUACAAUGUAUGGGCUUUUCUGAUGUGUAAAAAGCAUUAGGAAUAAGGGCUGGGUAAGACCGGUGCCAGCCGCCGCGGUAAUACCGGCAGCUCUAGUGGUAGCCACUUUUAUUGGGCCUAAAGCGUCCGUAGCCGGUCGGGUAAAUCCUUGGGUAAAUCGUGCAGCUUAACUGUGCGGCUUCCGGGGAGACUGCUCGACUUGGGACCGGGAGAGGUUGGAGGUACUCCUGGGGUAGGGGUGAAAUCCUGUAAUCCUAG